rnacentral:rRNA from 1 species
GAUGAACGCUGGCGGCGUGCCUAAUACAUGCAAGUCGAGCGAAAAGAUGAGGAGCUUGCUCCUCUGACGUUAGCGGCGGACGGGUGAGUAACACGUGGAUAACCUACCUAUAAGACUGGGAUAACUUCGGGAAACCGGAGCUAAUACCGGAUAAUAUAUUGAACCGCAUGGUUCAGUAGUGAAAGACGGUUUUGCUGUCACUUAUCGAUGGAUUCGCGCUGCAUUAGCUAGUGGAUAAGGUAACAGCUUACCAAGGCAACGAUGCCUAGCAGCCCUGAGAGGGUGAUCAGCCACACUGGAACUGAGACACGGUCCAGACUCCUACGGGAGGCAGCAGUAGGGAAUCUUCCGCAAUGGGCGAAAGCCUGACGGAGCAACGCCGCGUGAGUGAUGAAGGUCUUCGGAUCGUAAAGCUCUGUUAUUAGGGAAGAACAAAUGUGUAAGUAACUAUGCACUUCUUGACGGUACCUAAUCAGAAAGCCACGGCUAACUCCGUG